rnacentral:tRNA from 1 species
CAAAAAAUAGUUUAAUUUAGAAUACUAGCUUUGGGAGUUGGUGGUGGGAGUUAAAAUCUCCCUUUUUUGA